CGGAGCGACACCGCGUGUGGGAUGGAGUCUUUCGGGAUGUAAACCAACUGUCGGAGGGGGAAGGAAAAAAUAGACGGUACCCUCCCAAGAAAAGCCCCGGCUAACUACGUGC
rnacentral:rRNA from 1 species